AUUCUAUUAAUAGGCUUCCAGAAGUUUAUGCCAACAUAUCCUAGUAUUCCAGUCUCCAAGUUUUAGAUUCCCCUAAAGUUAUACCACUGAGUGAAGUAAUACCUCCUUAUGAGCUUAUUUGCAUGGUGAUAGCAGUCUUUCUAUAUGUUUCUCCAUGUUAUUUCAUGUCUUGUAGGUAAAGACAUUUGGGGAGACACAUCCUUUCACCAAACUUGUGGUUGAUCUGACAGAUGUAGACCCUGAUGUAGCUUAUUCUUCAGUUCCCUAUGAGAAGGGCUUUGCUUUACUUUUUUACCUUGAGCAACUGCUUGGAGGACCAGAGAUUUUCCUAGGAUUCUUAAAAGCUUAUGUUGAGAAAUUUUCCUAUAAGAGCAUAACUACUGAUGACUGGAAGGAUUUCCUGUAUUCCUAUUUUAAAGAUAAGGUUGAUGUUCUCAAUCAAGUUGAUUGGAAUGCCUGGCUCUACUCUCCUGGACUGCCUCCCAUAAAACCCAACCUUACUAGAGAUUAUGAGGACCUGAAGUAAUACAAAGGCAGUGGAAAAGAAAGGAGUAACUGAGAGAAGAGACGUUUGGGGGCUAGAAUCUAUUGGCAACUGAUUGGCUGUGGUGAGAAAAGAAGAAAUUAAAAAUGACUGAGCAGAGAUGUAAUAAAGAUUCAGCUCAAUCCAGCACACAUUUAUUGUCAGGCACUAAUAUGAUGAAUAAGGAACUCACAGAGCAAAUAUGUAUGUAUCAAGUCAUUAUAAUACAAUGAAAAGUAUUUUUUAAAAAAAUAUUAAUUGUUGCAGGUGAGGAAACUAUUAAUUUUAAUGGUGAUGGAUUUGGACAUCGUCUUGGAGAUGACUUACAAAGGAGAAUACAAGAAGUAAACUUUAGAACCUUAGAGGAUCUUCAUUUUAGAGCUAGGACAGAGGAAAGGUAGCAAAAUAAAUGGAAAAUUAGAAAGAUUUCAAAGGUUAAUUCAUUGUUAAGAAAGCUGUGGGAAGAAAUAAUUUAAAAGUGGUACGGAGAGUGGUCAGCAGUCUGGUGUGCUGUAGAAUUAUCAGGAGCCUGGGAAUAAAAGCAUAGA
rnacentral:sRNA from 1 species